UGGGAUAAGUUGUGCACUACUGUGGUU
rnacentral:piRNA from 1 species